rnacentral:rRNA from 1 species
AACGCGAAGAACCUUACCUACUCUUGACAUCCAGAGAACUUUCCAGAGAUGGAUUGGUGCCUUCGGGAACUCUGAGACAGGUGCUGCAUGGCUGUCGUCAGCUCGUGUUGUGAAAUGUUGGGUUAAGUCCCGCAACGAGCGCAACCCUUAUCCUUUGUUGCCAGCGGUCCGGCCGGGAACUCAAAGGAGACUGCCAGUGAUAAACUGGAGGAAGGUGGGGAUGACGUCAAGUCAUCAUGGCCCUUACGACCAGGGCUACACACGUGCUACAAUGGCAUAUACAAAGAGAAGCGACCUCGCGAGAGCAAGCGGACCUCAUAAAGUAUGUCGUAGUCCGGAUUGGAGUCUGCAACUCGACUCCAUGAAGUCGGAAUCGCUAGUAAUCGUAGAUCAGAAUGCUACGGUGAAUACGUUCCCGGGUCUUGUACACACCG